rnacentral:rRNA from 1 species
UAAUACGGAGGGUGCAAGCGUUAAUCGGAAUUACUGGGCGUAAAGCGCACGCAGGCGAUUUGUUAAGUCAGAUGUGAAAUCCCCGGGCUCAACCUGGGAACUGCAUUUGAAACUGGCAAGCUAGAGUCUCGUAGAGGGGGGUAGAAUUCCAGGUGUAGCGGUGAAAUGCGUAGAGAUCUGGAGGAAUACCGGUGGCGAAGGCGGCCCCCUGGACGAAGACUGACGCUCAGGUGCGAAAGCGUGGGGAGCAAACAGGAUUAGAUACCCUGGUAGUCCACGCUGUAAACGAUGUCGAUUUGGAGGUUGUGCCCUUGAGGCGUGGCUUCCGGAGCUAACGCGUUAAAUCGACCGCCUGGGGAGUACGGCCGCAAGGUUA